UAUACUAAAACCCGUAGGGGUUGGGUACUGUGGAUGACCAGUGUCCGGACGGAACUGCCCUCGCUUCUCUGUUUUCUUUCCGUUUGUGUCCCUGUUUUCCACGAGGCGCUCAACUUAUUCUCUCGACUUUGAGAGUCAUCUUGAGUUAGGGUUUUGUUCCUUCGUUGCUUUUCUUGAUUUCGGCUUUUGCUCUUUUCGUUUUGGCUGUUCUUUCUUCCAAUCCUCUGUUUCCUGUGAUAACCGUGCUUUCUUUCGCGGAAAUCAUAUAUACUAAAACAUUUUUGUCCGGUUCCUUUUCUUUCCUGUUUUGUACAGUGAUUCCUUUUCACUGCUUUUGGUCCAUUUUUUUUCCCAUUUCUUUUGCUUCUCUUCUUUCGUAGCCGUCUGCUCUCUCCUCUCUUCGCCUCUGUUGGUCUCAAAGUGGAUGGUUUUGUGUUGCAGCAAAAGUUGUUGCUCGAAUUUUCCAGUUUUUAUCUGCGGCUUUGCAAGCUCUUUAUCAACAAGAUUUGGAAGAACAUAGCAUUACAGGGUGUUGAGGGUUUGCUGGUGGGGGAAAGUAGUAGCGUUAAGAUUUUGCAGGUGAGAUAUUAGGGUGAGAGAAAAACGGGACAAAGAGCAUUGAAGACACAUUUGGGAUUAGGGGUAGCAAAACAGGGGAAAAGAAUAUGACAGAGGAAUGGACUCUUAAUUUUUUCUUGACUGGUUUGGGAUUUUGCUUGCCUUUGGGGUUGUCAUUGGCGUCAAGCCAUUUGAUGUCAAGUGGUGUCUGUUUUUUCAUAACUUUUAUUACUAAUUUUUAUGUCAUUUGCGAUUUUGUGUCCUGGGAUUUCUGAAUUUUAUCGUUCAUUGUCGGUUUUUAAAACUUUUUUUGUCUUCAUAUGUUUGUUUAAUAUGCUGUGUUUGUGUUGGGACGCCGUUUUGCAAGUUCUCUUUCCAUUUGGGACCACUACAUUUUAUAAGUGAUGAGGGUGAGGUUUAGAUACUCAAAACACUCCAUUUUUUUCCAAAUAUGCGCGUUUGGUUCUCUUUGGUUUUAAGUGUUUAAAAUUAAAUGGUUAUUUUGAUAAAAUGGUUUAUUAGUUUGUCUAAUGUGUUGUGAUCAGGAAUUCAAUUGGAUUGGGUAAAAUGCUUUAUCAAUUUACGUUAUAGGGAAUUUUGUGUAUUAUGGUCUGUGAGUUUUAUUGCUCAUCGUUUGUUCCUUUUUCUUUGUUUGCCGAUUUCUUUUGCAGGGGAUCACUAUAAAAUUGCUUGAGGGUAAGAUUUUGAUAAUAAAAUUCGAAACGAGGCGUUACUUUUCUUUUUAGAAACUAAUUUAAAAGCUCUGCAUAGAUAGUUAACUGUGUUGAAAUGUCUUGAUAAAACGUGAACCUUUUGUUAUAUGUGAAUGUUCAUUCCUUACUACAAAUAUAAUAGGCAUAGUGGUCUAAAAAAUUAAAACCCACUGACACAUGACAUCAGAAAUUCAAACAAAUUUCUACUGUUACCAUUACCUUCUUUCAUUCAGAUCAUCAACAUGUAGUUCAAAUCUAGAUCAAACCUAGAUGAAAUUCAGGUGACAUUAUUUAUUGUCAUUUUUUCAAUAAUUUACAUUGUUUUAGUACCCAGGUUUACAGCAUGAGCUGAAGAUCCAAGAUCAUUUUGGCAGAGACUUAGAUAUUGAAGACACUAAUUUUGCUCCUUAUUUUAUAGUUUAAUGUCCUACUUUUUACAUGUUUUAUACACUUAUAACACCCGCAGCAACGCGCGGGCACUAUGACUA